rnacentral:lncRNA from 1 species
GAGCCAGCUAACAAAAGAAAUCCUGAGGAGAGGGAAAAGCAUUGUAGCUAUGAAGAGCAAUUAAACAGACCAGGGAUCUUCAGCCUGCGAGGUAGCUGAGGAGAGAUCCAGUAGAGGUGUAUAAAAUUAUGAGUGGCCUGGAAAAAUGAAUUGAUUGCUACUCUUUUACUUCAGUUACCAGAAAAAGCAGAUUCAGAAGAAACCAAAGGGGAGACACCAACUUGUCAAAUGGGAGGAGGCCCUUUGAAGUGUGGAGAUAAGGACCUUUCUAGCCUUCAGUCAUAUCUGAAAGCCAUUUCCAGCCAGCAGAGGAACGUAUCAUUCAGCUGGAUUGGGUUUGCCCACGUUGUACAGAGGAAUGGACGUGCGGAGUUGGUGCAGAUUCCCCUGUCUGGUUGGCAUCGGCAGCUGGAUUAUCAAGAUGUCUUGACAAAGUACUUCUGCACAGUAUUUUUCAUGUAA